rfam:Oleiphilus sp. HI0065 HI0065_c7, whole genome shotgun sequence.
CAAGGAGUACGCCAAACCAAUUGUGAGAUUGGGACGGAAAGCCAAGGGUCUGCCCUCAGGACGAGAAAAGCAGAUAGCCGGUUACAACU